UACGACAGAGGGGUGGGGAGCGGCGGUAUGUGGGUAUCCCAUACCGGCCACUCUCAGCCAGAGCAGAGCUGGAGCUCUGGUCCUCCAAGGAGAAUCCAGGGCAGCAGAAGCCUCAUAUCCAUCCCCCCAACCCCGCCCCCCGCUUUGCAGACUGCAGAUGAGUGGAGUAACUUACCGAAGGUGACACCGCUAGAACACAGCAUAGCUCAAACUCCAAGCCAGCCUCUCUCUGCUCAACUGAAGAAUGGAACCAGCAGCCAUUUCAUGCAGCUAUGAGGGCCUGAGAAGGCACAGAGCCACUGCCUGACACAAGCCACCUCCCCAAGAGGCACCUGAUCCCAGUCAGAGACACAUGCCAGGGCCACUGAACCAGGAAAUUCACUUCCCACUGGCCUUCCUCAUCUCUAUAGGCUCCUCUUUCUACAUGUGAGCCUCACAGUGACCAGCUCUCAGAGGUACUGGGGAUCCUUCCCCCAUCUUCCAUCCUGGCUAAUCAGACUCUGCUGCACUUGCUGCAGGAGAGGGGCCACAGAGAAGGUCAUUGGGGUCCCUUGCUGGAAACACACUGAGAAUCUGGAGAACAUGGCUAUCCAUAGACCAGACUCCACACAGAAACAGGAACUCAGACACACACUGGAGAGAGGAAGACGUCUAGUGAACCAAGCCUCCUGGGACCCCACAAGUAGGGAUACAACACAAAGUUCUUACUUAAGCCUAAAAAUAAACCCACACACCAGGAAU